rnacentral:rRNA from 1 species
UACGUAGGGGGCUAGCGUUGUCCGGAAUCAUUGGGCGUAAAGAGCGUGUAGGCGGCCAGGUAGGUCUGCUGUGAAAACUCGAGGCUCAACCUCGAGACGUCGGCGGAAACCAUCUGGCUAGAGUCCGGAAGAGGAGAGUGGAAUUCCUGGUGUAGCGGUGAAAUGCGCAGAUAUCAGGAAGAACACCAAUGGCGAAAGCAGCUUUCUGGGACGGUACUGACGCUGAGACGCGAAAGCGUGGGGAGCGAACAGG